UACGAGGGGGGCAAGCGUUGUUCGGAUUCAUUGGGCGUAAAGGGUGCGUAGGUGGCGCCAUAAGUCAGGUGUGAAAUCUCGGGGCUCAACCCCGAAACUGCACUUGAUACUGUGGUGCUCGAGUACUGGAGAGGAGAUUGGAAUUUACGGUGUAGCAGUGAAAUGCGUAGAUAUCGUAAGGAAGACCAGUGGCGAAGGCGAAUCUCUGGACAGUUACUGACACUGAGGCACGAAGGCCAGGGGAGCAAACGGG
rnacentral:rRNA from 1 species